rnacentral:lncRNA from 1 species
UAAAAACUUUGAUUUUUUUAAAAAUAUAUAUUAGAAGAUAUAAAUAAGUAGAGAGAUAACAAUAGAAAGGUAGAAAUAAGAUGAAAAAUAAAGGAGAUACCCAACGGAAAAAUAAAGAGAGAAAGGAUAGAGAGAUUGUACUAGGAAUUUAUACAUAUUUGGUCUAACCACUUGAUCUAAUCCUUUUCCCAAAAGUUUCCUCUUGAGUGUUUCACUAAAAUAAAAUAUGAGCUCUUACAUGAUAAUCCCAUAAAACUUCAAAAACACUUAGAGCUUUUACUUAGGACUAACCCAUAAACCUUUAACAACAUACAUAGGUUUUAUACAUGCUUAGUUCAAGAACCUUCAUCAAAUCUUUUUUUCUUCAGGUUUAGCUUUCAAUCUUUAAAUUAUUUACAAAUAUAUUACAAAAGAGAAUCACACUCUUGAAUAAAAUAUAUUAAGCAUAACACCAAUACAACACAACUCUCACAAUGACUUUUCAUUCUUUCAACACUAUGACUCAAUUCAAGUGGAUAUUUUUUUUUAGAAAGAAAGAGAGUAGAAAAAUAUUCGAGGUUUCUAUUCUAU